UACAGAGGUCUCAAGCGUUGUUCGGAUUCAUUGGGCGUAAAGGGUGUGUAGGUGGCGCGCUAAGUCGGGUGUGAAAUUUCGGAGCUUAACUCCGAAACUGCAUUCGAUACUGGCGAGCUUGAGGACUGGAGAGGAGACUGGAAUUACGGUGAGCAGUGAAAUGCGUAGAUAUCGUAAGGAAGACCAGUGGCGAAGGCGGGUCUCUGG
rnacentral:rRNA from 1 species